rnacentral:misc_RNA from 1 species
GAUGAAGAACGCAGCGAAAUGCGAUAAGUAAUGUGAAUUGCAGAAUUCAGUGAAUCAUCGAAUCUUUGAACGCACAUUGCGCCCGCCAGUAUUCUGGCGGGCAUGCCUGUUCGAGCGUCAUUACAACCCUCAAGCUCAGCUUGCUGUUGGGUCCCCGUCGUUGCUUUAACGGCGGACCCGAAAGGUAAUGGCAGAGUCCGUGAGACCCUAGACGCAGCGAGCUUCUAGCACGCGUCUGGACGUUUUUCGGGCUCGGUCUUAACUAGAUGAUAACUUCCGAUUGACCUCAGAUCAGGUAGGGAUACCCGCUGAACUUAAGCAUAUCAAUAAGCGGAGGA